GUACUCCUACGGGGGGCAGCAGUGGGGAAUAUUGCACAAUGGGGGAAACCCUGAUGCAGCAACGCCGCGUGAAGGAAGACGGUUUUCGGAUUGUAAACUUCUGUUCUUAGUGAAGAAAAAUGACGGUAGCUAAGGAGCAAGCCACGGCUAACUACGUGCCAGCAGCCGCGGUAAUACGUAGGUGGCAAGCGUUGUCCGGAAUUACUGGGUGUAAAGGGAGCGCAGGCGGGAAGCCAAGUCAGCUGUGAAAACUACGGGCUUAACUUGUAGACUGCAGUUGAUACUGUUAGACUUGAGUAUG
rnacentral:rRNA from 1 species